rnacentral:lncRNA from 1 species
AAGGUUGCUGUCUAUCCUCUCGUGCCCUUUGCCAUCCAUGUGUUUCUGGCCUGCCUUCUCCUAACCUUUUUGUGGUGUGCCUCCUUAAAAAAAAAAAAAAAAAGAAAAGAAAAAAAACUAGCUGAAGAAACAUGCAUUAUUGGUUAGUUGAAGCAGAUUUUGCUGAAAUACAGACACAUACAUACAGUUCUGGCUGAUGGUAGCUGUUUAUGAAUAAACAUAUCUACUCAUGACUGUGAUGUGGAAUCAGGCUACUGUAGAUACAAAUUAUGCUUUUUAACAGCUGUGGAUGGUGAAAUGGUUACAAAUGCAUGUGUGUGCGGUUUAGACAGGGUCUGAUAUAUCACUCAUUUGUGCUUUUGUAAUUAAUUGUAAGAACAAGACUGUUCUUUGCAUGUGUUUUUUCUUUGCUACCAAGCACAAUAGAGAGUUAUAAUCAUCUCGCACCUUAAGUUUGUAAUAAAAUAUUGUUGGUAGCCUAGCAAAGAAAUUUGUUAAAUUUGUUAAAUUUGCUACACAAACUCCCAUAAUGCUAAGAAUUUUUUUGCUAGGACCCCUAAAUGACUUUUACCUCUGAAUACAAUCGAAAACAAAAUUUCUGAUGUUUAAGAAACACUUCUGCAUGUUUUUUCCAUCUCAACAUAAUGAAGCAUAAUUUAAGACUAUGGGCAGACGAGGGGGUAAAUGAUGCAUGUAAUGAUUGUUUUAACAUUUACAAGAAAAUAAUUUAUUUAAAUUGGAUUAAGCCUUAAUAUUAUCACACUUUUCUACCUGAUUUAGCAUGGAGGGGGUGCUGGGUAAAGAGAGAGAAGGCGAUUUCAUGGUAAAGUGUUUUAAGUAUUUCAUAUUUUCUUUUCUUUUUGAUCAUCCAGUCAUCCUGCCCCACAGCCAUGCAAAUGUUCCUACAUACAAAUGUUCAUUGCCGCCUAUUACAUUCUUCUGCUGACAGUGAAGAGGUCAUGCUAAAUCAAACUGAUGGAGAAAGUGGACAUCAUCUUUACCCAGGAUGCCCAAAUUAAUUCUACUGAGACAAAGGGUCAACCUCACAUUGGCUGGCUUGUCUUCUUGAUUUCUUCAUUCAUGGUGCUAAGCAGAGUUGAUGAGACGGAAAAAGGAAAGUGGCAGGGGUCGCUGAAUCUGAGCAUCUCCACCAGCUAA